GGGUUGUGAGGUUAAGCGACUAAGCGUACACGGUGGAUGCCCUGGCAGUCAGAGGCGAUGAAGGACGUGCUAAUCUGCGAUAAGCGUCGGUAAGGUGAUAUGAACCGUUAUAACCGGCGAUUUCCGAAUGGGGAAACCCAGUGUGAUUCGUCACACUAUCAUUAACUGAAUCCAUAGGUUAAUGAGGCGAACCGGGGGAACUGAAACAUCUAAGUACCCCGAGGAAAAGAAAUCAACCGAGAUUCCCCCAGUAGCGGCGAGCGAACGGGGAGCAGCCCAGAGCCUGAAUCAGUGUGUGUGUUAGUGGAAGCGUCUGGAAAGGCGUGCGAUACAGGGUGACAGCCCCGUACACAAAAAUGCACAUACUGUGAGCUCGAUGAGUAGGGCGGGACACGUGGUAUCCUGUCUGAAUAUGGGGGGACCAUCCUCCAAGGCUAAAUACUCCUGACUGACCGAUAGUGAACCAGUACCGUGAGGGAAAGGCGAAAAGAACCCCGGCGAGGGGAGUGAAAAAGAACCUGAAACCGUGUACGUACAAGCAGUGGGAGCACAGAGCAAUCUGUGUGACUGCGUACCUUUUGUAUAAUGGGUCAGCGACUUAUAUUCUGUAGCAAGGUUAACCGAAUAGGGGAGCCGAAGGGAAACCGAGUCUUAACUGGGCGUUAAGUUGCAGGGUAUAGACCCGAAACCCGGUGAUCUAGCCAUGGGCAGGUUGAAGGUUGGGUAACACUAACUGGAGGACCGAACCGACUAAUGUUGAAAAAUUAGCGGAUGACUUGUGGCUGGGGGUGAAAGGCCAAUCAAACCGGGAGAUAGCUGGUUCUCCCCGAAAGCUAUUUAGGUAGCGCCUCGUGAAUUCAUCUCCGGGGGUAGAGCACUGUUUCGGCAAGGGGGUCAUCCCGACUUACCAACCCGAUGCAAACUGCGAAUACCGGAGAAUGUUAUCACGGGAGACACACGGCGGGUGCUAACGUCCGUCGUGAAGAGGGAAACAACCCAGACCGCCAGCUAAGGUCCCAAAGUCAUGGUUAAGUGGGAAACGAUGUGGGAAGGCCCAGACAGCCAGGAUGUUGGCUUAGAAGCAGCCAUCAUUUAAAGAAAGCGUAAUAGCUCACUGGUCGAGUCGGCCUGCGCGGAAGAUGUAACGGGGCUAAACCAUGCACCGAAGCUGCGGCAGCGACACUAUGUGUUGUUGGGUAGGGGAGCGUUCUGUAAGCCUGUGAAGGUGUACUGUGAGGUAUGCUGGAGGUAUCAGAAGUGCGAAUGCUGACAUAAGUAACGAUAAAGCGGGUGAAAAGCCCGCUCGCCGGAAGACCAAGGGUUCCUGUCCAACGUUAAUCGGGGCAGGGUGAGUCGACCCCUAAGGCGAGGCCGAAAGGCGUAGUCGAUGGGAAACAGGUUAAUAUUCCUGUACUUGGUGUUACUGCGAAGGGGGGACGGAGAAGGCUAUGUUGGCCGGGCGACGGUUGUCCCGGUUUAAGCGUGUAGGCUGGUUUUCCAGGCAAAUCCGGAAAACUAAGGCUGAGGCGUGAUGACGAGGCACUACGGUGCUGAAGCAACAAAUGCCCUGCUUCCAGGAAAAGCCUCUAAGCAUCAGGUAACAUCAAAUCGUACCCCAAACCGACACAGGUGGUCAGGUAGAGAAUACCAAGGCGCUUGAGAGAACUCGGGUGAAGGAACUAGGCAAAAUGGUGCCGUAACUUCGGGAGAAGGCACGCUGAUAUGUAGGUGAAGUCCCUCGCGGAUGGAGCUGAAAUCAGUCGAAGAUACCAGCUGGCUGCAACUGUUUAUUAAAAACACAGCACUGUGCAAACACGAAAGUGGACGUAUACGGUGUGACGCCUGCCCGGUGCCGGAAGGUUAAUUGAUGGGGUUAGCGCAAGCGAAGCUCUUGAUCGAAGCCCCGGUAAACGGCGGCCGUAACUAUAACGGUCCUAAGGUAGCGAAAUUCCUUGUCGGGUAAGUUCCGACCUGCACGAAUGGCGUAAUGAUGGCCAGGCUGUCUCCACCCGAGACUCAGUGAAAUUGAACUCGCUGUGAAGAUGCAGUGUACCCGCGGCAAGACGGAAAGACCCCGUGAACCUUUACUAUAGCUUGACACUGAACAUUGAGCCUUGAUGUGUAGGAUAGGUGGGAGGCUUUGAAGUGUGGACGCCAGUCUGCAUGGAGCCGACCUUGAAAUACCACCCUUUAAUGUUUGAUGUUCUAACGUUGACCCGUGAUCCGGGUUGCGGACAGUGUCUGGUGGGUAGUUUGACUGGGGCGGUCUCCUCCUAAAGAGUAACGGAGGAGCACGAAGGUUGGCUAAUCCUGGUCGGACAUCAGGAGGUUAGUGCAAUGGCAUAAGCCAGCUUGACUGCGAGCGUGACGGCGCGAGCAGGUGCGAAAGCAGGUCAUAGUGAUCCGGUGGUUCUGAAUGGAAGGGCCAUCGCUCAACGGAUAAAAGGUACUCCGGGGAUAACAGGCUGAUACCGCCCAAGAGUUCAUAUCGACGGCGGUGUUUGGCACCUCGAUGUCGGCUCAUCACAUCCUGGGGCUGAAGUAGGUCCCAAGGGUAUGGCUGUUCGCCAUUUAAAGUGGUACGCGAGCUGGGUUUAGAACGUCGUGAGACAGUUCGGUCCCUAUCUGCCGUGGGCGCUGGAGAACUGAGGGGGGCUGCUCCUAGUACGAGAGGACCGGAGUGGACGCAUCACUGGUGUUCGGGUUGUCAUGCCAAUGGCACUGCCCGGUAGCUAAAUGCGGAAGAGAUAAGUGCUGAAAGCAUCUAAGCACGAAACUUGCCCCGAGAUGAGUUCUCCCUGACUCCUUGAGAGUCCUGAAGGAACGUUGAAGACGACGACGUUGAUAGGCCGGGUGUGUAAGCGCAGCGAUGCGUUGAGCUAACCGGUACUAAUGAACCGUGAGGCUUAACCUUACAACGCCGAAGGUGUUU
rnacentral:rRNA from 1 species